GACGAACGCUGGCGGCGUGCCUAAUACAUGCAAGUAGAACGCUGAAGGAGGAGCUUGCUUCUCUGGAUGAGUUGCGAACGGGUGAGUAACGCGUAGGUAACCUGCCUGGUAGCGGGGGAUAACUAUUGGAAACGAUAGCUAAUACCGCAUAAGAGUAGAUGUUGCAUGACAUUUACUUAAAAGGUGCAAUUGCAUCACUACCAGAUGGACCUGCGUUGUAUUAGCUAGUUGGUGAGGUAACGGCUCACCAAGGCAACGGUACAUAGCCGACCUGAGAGGGUGAUCGGCCACACUGGGACUGAGACACGGCCCAGACUCCUACGGGAGGCAGCAGUAGGGAAUCUUCGGCAAUGGACGGAAGUCUGACCGAGCAACGCCGCGUGAGUGAAGAAGGUUUUCGGAUCGUAAAGCUCUGUUGUAAGAGAAGAACGAGUGUGAGAGUGGAAAGUUCACACUGUGACGGUAUCUUACCAGAAAGGGACGGCUAACUACGUG
rnacentral:rRNA from 1 species